rnacentral:lncRNA from 1 species
AUGCCGCAGGUGCAGCCCUUAAAAAGAAAAAAAAAAAAAAAGGAGCACCUCCCAACACCUCAAAGGGCUGAGGCAAAGGGAAAGGUCUCAGUUAGGUGUAGUGAGCUGACGUCCAUCUCUUUUCCUGACCUAGGAGAUUCGAGAAGUCAGAGAAAACUGGGAGUUAGUCACCUCCGUCACUCCAACACAAAACAGGGUGCCUGGCGCCUGGCACAAAGCAGAACUUUAGUGCAGAUACAACAACCACAACAAAAAAAUGUUGUGGUUAUUGUUGUUGAACUGAAUCUGACACACGAUGCUUACGGAGAGAAAUGAGAACUGGGCUCCUCAAAUACCUAAGGGUGGUGCUGGAAGCACGGAGUGUGAAGCCCACCUGCCACCUAAGGAGUUUCAGUUUCAAAAAAUCUGUCUCUGUGUUACGCCUUCUAUCAUCUCAGCUUCCUGCUGAGAGAGCAUCAAUAGGGAGAAGCGAUUCUUCUUUUUCUAUUUGUAUUUAUUUUUAUUGGAAUAUAGUUGAUUUACAGUAAGUAGUGUCUGGUAUACAGCAAAAUGAUUCAGUUUAUUUAUUUACUUAUAACUAAAUAUACGUGUAUUCUGUUUUAUACUCUUUUCCAUUAUGGUUUAUAACAGAAUGUUGAAUACAGGUCCCCGAGCUACACAGUAGGACCUUCUGCUUAUCUAUUUUAUAAAUAAUAGUGUGUAUCUGCUCAUCCCAAGCUCCCUAAUGGAUCCCUUCCCCACCCUCUUUCCCUUUGGUAAACAUCCGUUUGUUUUCUAUGACGCUGAGUCUGUUUCUGUUUUGUUAAUAAGUCCAUUUGUAUCACUUUGUUUUCAUUUUUAAAAGUUUUAUUGAAGUAUGGUUGAUUUACAAUGUCGUGGUAAUUUCUGCUGAAAAACAAAGCGAUUCAGUUAUGCACAUCCAUUGUCUUUCAGAUUCUUUCCCAUCUAGACCAUCACAGAAUAUUGAGUAGAGCUCCCUGUGCUACACAGCAGGUCCCCAUUGGCCAAUCAUUUCAUAUGCAAUAGCGUGCCUGAGCCAAUCCCAAACCCC